rnacentral:rRNA from 1 species
UACAGAGGUCUCAAGCGUUGUUCGGAUUCAUUGGGCGUAAAGGGUGCGUAGGCGGCGCGGUAAGUCGGGGUGUGAAAUCUCGGAGCUUAACUCCGAAACUGCAUUCGAUACUGCCAUGCUUGAGGACUGGAGAGGAGACUGGAAUUUACGGUGUAGCGGUGAAAUGCGUAGAUAUCGUAAGGAAGACCAGUGGCGAAGGCGGGUCUCUGGACAGUUCCUGACGCUGAGGCACGAAGGUCAGGGGAGCAAACGGG